rnacentral:rRNA from 1 species
ACGCGAAAGUCCCGCAAGGGAUCAGUAGAGUGGCGACGGGUGAGUAACACGUGGGUGACCUGCCUUCGAGUGGGGGAUAACGUCCCGAAAGGGACGCUAAUACCGCAUGACAUCCUGCCUUUGAAGAGGUGGAGCUUAAAGCUGGGGAUCGCAAGACCUAGCGCUUGAAGAGGGGCCCGCGCCUGAUUAGCUAGUUGGUGAGGUAACGGCUCACCAAGGCAACGAUCAGUAUCCGGCCUGAGAGGGCGGACGGACACACUGGGACUGAGACACGGCCCAGACUCCUACGGGAGGCAGCAGUGGGGAAUUGUUCGCAAUGGGCGCAAGCCUGACGACGCAACGCCGCGUGGAGGAUGAAGACCUUCGGGUCGUAAACUCCUUUCGAUCGAGACGAACGGCUUCCGGGUGAACAAUCCGGGAGAGUGACGGUACCGAGAGAAGAAGCCCCGGCUAACUCCGUGCCAGCAGCCGCGGUAAUACGGGGGGGCAAGCGUUGUUCGGAAUUACUGGGCGCAAAGGGCUCGUAGGCGGCCAACUAAGUCAGACGUGAAAUCCCUCGGCUUAACCGGGGAACUGCGUCUGAUACUGGAUGGCUUGAGAUUGGGAGAGGGAUGCGGAAUUCCAGGUGUAGCGGUGAAAUGCGUAGAUAUCUGGAGGAACACCGGUGGCGAAGGCGGCAUCCUGGACCAACACUGACGCUGAGGAGCGAAAGCCAGGGGAGCAAACGGGAUUAGAUACCCCGGUAGUCCUGGCCCUAAACGAUGAAUGCUUGGUGUGGCGGGUAUCGAUCCCUGCCGUGCCGAAGCUAACGCAUUAAGCAUUCCGC